rnacentral:ncRNA from 7 species
CUUAUCAUUUAGAGGAAGGAGAAGUCGUA